CGCUAGAAGUUGUUGAUGCAUCGGUUGGGGGGAAGAAAACACAGUAGCGAGAGAGAGAGAGAGAGAGAGAGAGAGAGAGAAUGGUGCUCCUCAAUAAUCAACGCAAGAGGAGGCCUUCGACUUCCUCCAAUGCCUUGGCCCAACCCCCCAAAAUCCCCACCAACCACCAGCGACUGCGAUUCGGCGGCGCCAGCGAUGGCGACGGAGCAUCGGAAUCUCAUGUAUCAGCAAUUGACGCCGUCCCUCCUCCUUCUCCCAUCGAGAAGAUGGUGUCAGUGCUAACAGAUGCCGGCUGCACUCUGACGUCGUCGGCGCCGCUCCGUCUCCCGUCCGACAUCCACAAGCUCCGCCACCACCUCCACCGCCUCUUCUCCGAUGACCCCUCUCUCCGCUCCGUCUUCCUUUCCGGCUACUCGUCUUACAUCGAAAGCCCUAUCAAUCUCCGCAGGGUUUUGGUCUCUUCAAAUUUUGACUGCUCUGGUUCGUUGGUAAGGAAAGAAAGCCUAGUUCGAGUUCUGUUACUGGUACCUUCCAUCCAAUUAGACCUUCAAAUCGUGUUGCUCGAGAAGCUUCCCGAGUACUUCGAUCACGGGGAUAAUGCCCACAACACAAGUGGAUUGUAUUCGGCUUCACUUGACGAUGAUGUGGCAAGGCUAAUUCUGAAUCAGUUCAGGUGGCUUGACUUCCUAGUUGAUUCUUAUGCAUUCACCGACAAGUUGUUGCAAGUCCUCUCCAUUUGUCCCCUUCCCUUGAAGAAAGAGAUAAUUGGAUCAUUACCUGAGAUGAUUGGUGAUCAAAACAAUCAAGCAGUAGUUGAUUCACUCACUCAAAUGCUUCAAGAAGACUCCACCAUCAUUGUCCCGGUGCUUGACUCUUUCUCCAACCUCAACUUGGAUGAUCAUUUGCAAGACCAGGUGAUUACAAUAGCAUUAUCCUGCAUACGAACAAUUGAUGCAGAACACAUGCCAUAUCUGCUUAGAUUCUUACUGCUUUCUGCAACAGCAGCAAAUGCUCGAAGAAUAAUCUCACAGAUUAGGGAGCAGUUAAAAUUUUUUGGGUUAUCCAGUAGUACUCGAUUAAUACAGAACAAUAAGCUGAAAGGAAAAUCUUCAGCGGAUAAUGCAGAGUCUUCAGUUCUUGAUGCCCUGAGAUCUAGUCUUCAGUUUAAAAAUAUACUAUGCCAGGAGAUAUUGAAAGAAUUGAAAUGCCUCCAAAGGGCUAGGGAUCACAAGGUCAUUGAUAUCUGGUUGCUUCUGCUCAUAUACAUGAAUGGGGGCUCUUUGCAAAAGAGUGUUGAAAAGAUUUUCAAAAGGAAAAUUAUUGAAGGUUGUAUUCAGGAUGUUUUGUUUGAUCAGUGCAUUCAGGGGAACAAGGAACUAGUACAGGACUACUUUCCCUCAUUUCUUUCAUUGUCUGAGUGCUUGCUGGGAUAUAAAGAACUAAAAGCAAGGGAGUUUGGCAUUCACAUCUUUAGAUCUCUGUUUCAAGAGUUUGUUGACACUUAUUCAAGACAAGAAGUUCUGGGUGCGUUAGUUGCACAUGUGGGUUCUGGCAUUAAUUUUGAAGUGAGUUCUGCCUUGGAUGCAAUGAUUCUGCUUGCCUCCAAGUAUCCGCAGGAAUUGAGUCCACUUUCUUCCCACAUAAACGGUAUCUUGGAUUACCUGGAAGGAUUUAGUGUUGAAAAUCUUCACAAGGUCUAUGAAGUUUUUAGCCUUCUGGCACUGUCUGCAUGGUCUACUUCAGACUCAUUAGGAUCUUCUGCUGCAAAUGAACUCUUGAUGAUUGUAAGAAAGCAGAUUAGUAAUGCAGAUCUAAAGUAUAAAAAGAUGGGUCUGAUUGGAACUCUGAAGAUAGUUUCCUAUCUUGGGGAUGCAAGUAAUGCAUCCUGCUCCUUGUCCCAGAAGCCAGUUUUUGAGGAGGCUGUCGAUCUUUUGAAAACAUGUAUGGAGGCUUGCAAGAAGUUGCCCUUGUCAUCAAUCAUGUUUUCUGAUGAGCUCAGUUCCAUAUUGAGUUGCAGAACUUUUCACCCAGCGGUUAUGGAAUGGAUUGGCAAAUAUGCUAGUGAAUUUGAAUCUUCAUUCUUAGCAGAUGUUGAAGGUGGGCAGUUGUCUGUCAAGGAUUCAUACAGUGGCUUAGAAGGAGAACUAGGGAUGAACUUGGAUGGUGACAUAUCUCCAGUUUGUUUGAACAUUUUGCCAAUGGUUUAUGCAUCAAUGCAGUCAACAUCGUUGAUACAAACUCUUCCUGCUAAAUUUCAUUUACUCUCCAUGAUUGAGAGGGUGGCCAAUCAGGGUUCUCUUGCAGGGAUUGAUGCAUUACUUGGCUGUCCGUUACAUCUUCCUUCCUUUAAGUUCUUCUGUGAAGCAGCAUGGCAGCUUCUGACAGCAAAGCAGAAACAGAUUGUUUGCUUAUCUCUCUACUAUGCAGCUAACUGGAUUAGGGAGCUGCUUAAUGCUUUCUCUACACAAGUUGCUGGAAGAUUUGACUGUGUCAGUCAAGCAACAAAACUGGAAAUAAUUGCGAAGUUAUUGAAGCGCUUAAGAAAUCUUCUGUUUCUGGAGAGCCUGUUAAAUUAUUAUCUCACACAGUAUCCUGUUUCUCUACCUGACCUCUACCCGGACAUGGAUGCAUCCUCAUUUUUAAGCUGCUCUAAUUCUACAAGGAAUUUUGAGAAUAAGAGUAGGCAUAUGGAAACAAAUGUGAGUUCAUCUCCCAACAAGAAGAGGAAAAAUGGUAGGGCAUCAAAGUUGUCAGUAAGUUCAGAUAAUGGAAAAUGCAUGCAGCCCACAAUUGAGGAUGUGUUGAGAAAAUUAGGUUCAAAAACAAGCCAGGAAGUUCCAAAUGGUGAUUCUUCUGGUUUGUGCUCUAAGGAUAGUGCAGCUGAGCCAGCAAAACAUAAUUCCACUCACUCCAGUGACGUAAGCAUAGAAAUUUCUGCACCUACUAAGGUUCUAGAAUCAGAGAGAUACAAAUUCAGGCCUCUUCUUCCUGACUGCUUUUCAAUUUUGGCUUUUUCAGAGGUGCAGAGUCAACAUUCUUGUUGCCCAGACCCUGCUGCAGAGUUACCCCUGUAUCUGUACCUACUUCGUGAUCUUCACUGCAAGCUGGAUUACUUCAUUCUGCCAAGCAAACAAUUUUCAGCCAGAUGCUUAAGCAGUCCACCUUACCUAAGCAGGAUGACUGUAAAUGUGUUCUUAAGCAAAAUACGACCGCUAUUUCCAAGCCUCAGAAAUCAUCUUAAUUGUGCAAUUCAAAUGCUUAAACAAGGCUCUGAGUCAUGUCAGGAGCACUGGAGUGCCCAGUCUGAUUCAGCCAGGAACCCGGGUUUAACCAACAUGGUUAUUUCAAUGUCAUCAGUUUGCAGUUCAGUAAUUAAAGAGACACUUUCUUGCUUUAGCAAGAUGUUAUAUCUUUCUGCUAUUCAGGAGGAAAAAUCUUGCCUAUCAGAUCUUCUUGAGGCCUUCCAGCCCAGCAAGAUACCAGAUUGCAUUUUUUCAGGAAUGCAAUCAAUCCCUUCACCUGGGAACGUAGAUUAUUUAUAUUGUGGUGCUUAUUCAUUCCUAGAAGGAGUUUUGGAAGAAGCAAUUACUUUAUCAUUCUCGUUGGCCUCGGAAGUUCUACUUACUUUGGAUUUAGUAAUUAAAUCUGUUCAGAAACUGCUUGAGAAGUCAGUGCAAGGAUAUGGGAAGAAUAUUCACAACGGACUCUUCCAGGAACUCCUUGCUAACUUGCAUAACAGAUUGGGAACUUCUGCUUAUAAACUUUUGAGGCAUGAUUGGGAUGAUGGCAACCUUGAGAAUGGCUGGAAGGGAAAAGGAGAAGUAGUUCAGAAAAUACUUCACGUUCUUUUGGUAAAUAGCAAAUCCCCUUCUGAUUUGUUGGAUGAGCUUGCUUGCUCUAUCUUACCUCAGGCCCCCUUGACCAAAGGAAUCCAGGAAGAUGAUUUUCAUGGUUUCCCAACUCUUUGUUCUGCAACAUUCAUUGUGUGGUACCGUGUACUGCAUGAAGAGAAUCUUGGUGUUCUUAACAAGUUGGUUACAGAAGUGAGUCUUUUAGAGAACCAGCGAGCUGAAUAUCAAGCAGAAACUGUGGAAGCAGUGCUGAACAAUUUGCAGAAAUCUGUAAAUGUGGUUGUAUCAUUAGUUAACAUGUGCCGGAGUCAUGACAAGAUAAGCGUGCAUGCCUUGGCUGUCAAGUAUGGUGGGAAGUUUGUCGAGUCUUUCCUUAAAGUUUUUGAAUUCUUGCAGACUCAAAUUCAGAUGCAUAAUGAGCUUAUUAUUCAACUGGUCAAAGAGCUUCAGAAGGCAACAAGGACAUUACAAACUCUAUGUUCUGAAGCAAAGGGCUUGAAACAAACAGCUGUAACCAGCAAGAUUCCUGCUACAAAGAGAUCUUUGGAACGAUUCUUAUUCCAUGUCAAGGGUCUCCUCCACACUACAUCAAGUGGAUGCUCUUUCUGGAUGGGUAAUCUGAAGCACAAAGACUUGAUGGGUCAGGUGGUGAGCUCGCAAGCAUAUAUAGAUCAAAAUGAAAAUACUCUUGAAGGUUGUGAGGAAACUGUUGUUGAGGAGCAGCAUGUCAGUGUCCGCAGUGAGGAGGAAAGGGAAACAGAAUGAGACGUGCCUUGUGCAAGCGCUUAAAUAUAUUUUUCAAAACCAAACAGGAUUGAGUCCUAAUAGGUUGACUCAUAAUGUGCUAGCCAUGCUGUUUUUAAAUGAGGAUCCAAGAAUGGAAAUGCUAAUAAGAGCCGCUUCCUGUCUUAUGGAAGUUGAACCUAUAUUUUGCCAAUUGCACAGGUAUGUAUUUCAAGUUAAAACAGUAUCAUCUGUGACCAUGAUUCUGGACAAGGUGUUAACUGAGAGAACAAAGGAAAGCAUCCUAGUCAGAGGGAAUGGCCAUUUGAAAUUGAUAUUAACUACACGAACUGCUGAAACUGUUGUUGGAAGCCUUACGGAAAUGCUGUCCUGUCCUGGACAUUUGAGGCAGCUUCAUUUGUCUAAGACUAUUAAUUCUUUGCUUGAAAGCAAUGGCAAUCAAUAAGACUGCUCACUGCUAACCUUGACAAAGAAACGUUUCAGAACCUAUUUUGAGUAUGCUUUAUAUAUAUAUGGUAAAUGGCCCAUACAUUCAUGAGUUUUGGGCCUUUUAGUCAGACACCCCUUGUUUAUUUUUAACCAAAACUAUCUUUGUGCUUUGCUUAAAUCACCAAUACACUUGUUUUGUGAAUAGCACUCCCAACUAAAUGUGAUUAAAAUAAAAUUAUAUCCAAUUUCAUUUUAAUUAAAAGAAAAAACUAAAAAUAUAAUUAUAAAAAAAAAAAAAACUCCUUGUUGCUGAAUCUGUGGGUUCGGGUAGUUUGUUGGGUUCCAUAGAACCUAACAAUGGAGAAAGAAGAAAAAGAACCAUUGUUGAAUUUGACAACCCAACCAACGGUGAUAAGGACGAAGACAACAGUAGAUAGGCAAAACACAAGAGGUGACUUAAAGAGUGCUUUGCUAUGACAAAGCUAGGGUAGAUCUAAUGAGUCCAAGGUGCUUUAGAUCUAGUGGCGAUGAUGGCAGAGGAGCAAGUUCGAUAAGUGGUGGUGAUUUUUGACGGUGAGAAAGCAAUGAUUGAUAGAUUUUACAAAUGUUGCUGAUUGAUGAUUCCAUGGAACCCAUUGCUAACGACCUUUUUUUUCUUAUUGCUAAAGGAUUUUAGUGUGGUUUUCAUGGUUUCACAAAGAUUUCAACCUCUUUUUUUUGGUUGUCUUCCUUUCUUCUUUCUCAUCGUCAAAUAGUUUAACUGAUGGAUAAAUAGAUAUGUAAACAAACUAUUAUGUUCGGUGAAGAACUCUUGAAUGAGUUUGAUUUGAGCUUAUUUAUGUUUACUCACUAAGUAAAUAAAUAAAUUUAAACAAAAUUUAGACCUCAUUUAAUGAAUGAGCCAAGCUCAAAUAAAAGCUUGUUUAGCUUAUUUAUAUUUAGAAACAGGCUCAUAUAAUAAGAGUAUAUGUAUAUUUGUAAGAUGUUUUAGGGUUUAUUUUGUUUUUUCUGUAAAUGUAAUUCAUUAAACCAGAAAAUCGCAAAAAAUGUCUACAAGAAAAAGUUAGGGCAUAUUCUGCUAUAAAACAAAGAAUUAAAGAAACAGAACAACACUCACAAGAAAAGAAGCAAAAGAUUAUAACUUCAAACAAAUGAGGCAGAAAGGAAAAUACAAUAGAGAGAAACUUGAAGUAAUAGGAGGAUAGUAGCAAGCAACCCAAGAUGAAAGACUUGAGAG